rnacentral:rRNA from 1 species
CCUACGGGAGGCAGCAGUGGGGAAUAUUGCACAAUGGGCGAAAGCCUGAUGCAGCGACGCCGCGUGAGGGAUGACGGCCUUCGGGUUGUAAACCUCUUUCAGUGGGGAACAAGGCCAGACAUUCUCUGGUUGAGGGUACUUGCAGAAGAAGCGCCGGCUAACUACGUGCCAGCAGCCGCGGUAAUACGUAGGGCGCAAGCGUUAUCCGGAAUUAUUGGGCGUAAAGAGCUCGUAGGCGGUUUGUCGCGUCUGCCCGUGAAAGUCCGGGGCUCAACCCCGGGAUCUGCGGUGGGUACGGGCAGACUAGAGUGAUGUAGGGGAGACUGGAAUUCCUGGUGUAGCGGUGAAAUGCGCAGAUAUCAGGAGGAACACCGAUGGCGAAGGCAGGUCUCUGGGCAUUAACUGACGCUGAGGAGCGAAAGCAUGGGGAGCGAACAGGAUUAGAUACCCUGGUAGUCCAUGCCGUAAACGUUGGGCACUAGGUGUGGGGGUACAUUCCACGUUUUCCGCGCCGUAGCUAACGCAUUAAGUGCCCGCCUGGGAGUACGGCCGCAAGGCUAAAACUCAAGGAAUUGACGGCGNGAGAGNGCGAGACGACGACGAGGGAGGAGG